ACGUACAAUGGGUUUAUCAGGAUGUAACCCCGUGUAUUGAGGUGCAUCUGUAGUACUUAAUCUAUUAUCUAAAAUAAUGAGUUAACUCUUUUGUGUCCUCCACAGCACCUGGUAAAGUGUAUAGUAUAUUAGCAUUCUCCAGAGAAAUGGAACCAAUAUGACAUGUAGAAAAUUGUAUGAGAAGAUGUAUUAUCCUCAUACAUGGAGAGAAUUGGCCCACACAAUUAUGGAGGCUAAGAAGUUCAAUCAUAUACCCUCUGCAAGCCGGAGAAUCAUGGUUCAAGGUCAAAGGCCCAAGACUAGGAGUACCAAUGUCCAAGGGCAGGAGAAUAUGGACGUCCCAGCUCAGCAAGAGAAUGAGAGCAAACUCGCUGUUCCUUCACCUUUGUGUUCUAUCCAGGCCCUCACUAGAUAGGAUGGUGCCUACCCAUACUGCUGAGGGUGGGUCUCCUUCACUCAGUCCACUGAUUUAAAUGCUCAUCUCUUCCAGAAACACCCUCACACCCUUAGAAGUAAUGUUUUUCCAGCUAUAUGGGUAUCCUUUCACCCAGUUAAGUUGACACUUAAAAUUAACCAUCGCAAGUAGGUACUUGAUCAAUAUCUGUUGCUUGAUUUUUAAAAAAAUCUCCAGUGCAAUACACUGAUUAUUCAAGACCCACUCUACCCACAUCAUAAGAGUUAUCUUGCACCAUUUCAAACAUGAGCACCUUGCUUCAGCUGAACACAAUACCCACAGAAUGUUAGCUCUCAGAAGCACAGAAAUUUAAAAGCCAGAAACAAUUUUAGAAAACAUCUAGAAUAAGUUUUCUUUAUCAGCUAAAGAAAUGGAGUCCUGGCUAGGUUUAACAGUCUUGUUAUACUUACUGUUUUUCCUGCCUGAGCAAAGCCAUUCGUCAUCUUCUUUAUUCCUCCAAAUCACUGAUGUUCCGUAUCUGGGAUAGAAACUCCCAGCUGUCCACCAAAAUUCAUUCUACUUCUCUAUUGCAAUGGAAAGGUCAACUGUGUGGCUAGCCCUGCAUCUCAUGUAGUAUGGUGUGGCCUUGUUGCUGAGCCACAGCUAGUGGAGUGUGAGAGGAAAGGGUGUGUGCAUUUUUAGGAGUAGACUCACCCAAGAGUAUUCCCAUACUUCUCUGUGUUCUUUUCCCUUCGGCUGACUGGGAUAGAUGCCCUGAGGACACAUUGGUAGAGACAAAGAAAUCCCCAGUUUGAAUACUUUUCUGAUAAUGGAAAAGGGUCACUCAACUAACCCCAAACCUACCCUGGACUGCUAUAUGAGAGAUAAGCAAAUACAUGGUUCUUUAAUCAUUAAAAUAUUAGGAUGAAUGUGUUACUGCAGCUUGGCAUGACCUAACAACAACAUUGCACAAAAUCUUCUCUAUCUAUAUACUCUAGCACACUCUGAUCUUUGUCUAGUUGAAUUGCGUGUUUGAGUCUAUGCUGGGCAUUGCAGUAAUAAUUUAAUGUGCACAACUUUGAGUUUG
rnacentral:lncRNA from 1 species